rnacentral:sRNA from 1 species
GUUAGUUCAAGUAGCUGACUCCCCUUAUUGGAGGAGUUAACCCCGACACUAAACCUAAACCUUCUUUAAAGCCCUUUAUCACUUGUGAGUGUCCGUGAGGUCUUAUUCUCAUUGAGCUUGGUAGAAAGUGUUAGGUUCGUAACGUCAGAGAUAGUGUCUCAUGUAGUUCUAGUUCGCGUUUUCCGGGCUGGAUAAGACUAGGUAGGCGCUCAUAUUAUGGGUUGAGAUGUGUCUAAAAGAAAGAAAAGGGGAAAAGAAUUCUAGGGGAAGGAAGCUAAAGAAGUUAGAAAAACAAAAAGGCUAGUAAAGGUUUUGGGAAUGUUAAAGAAAAGAAUGGGGUUCUUGUUAGCUAAAGAAGAAGGGUAAAAAGCCCUUAGUUUUAAAAGAU